AUGCUCGUUCAAGGUACAGCACGCAGAUUGCACGCAUUGAAGGAUCCCACACUUUUGUUGAAGCUAGACAUAUCAAAGGCCUUCGACUCAGUCCAAUGGCCUUUCCUGCUGGAAGUAUUGGCUCAUAUGGGAUUUGGACCAAGGUGGAUAGCGUGGAUAUGUGGACUGCUCGCAACUUCAUCUACUAAGAUCAAUGUGAAUGGGAUACCCGGGGAAACGAUCUUCAAUUGCCAAGGACUGCGUCAGGGGAGCCCGCUGUCACCCAUGUUGUUCAUUUUAUGCAUGGAACCCCUACAUCGUCUACUUGAACUUGCAACCACCGCGGGUUUACUUUCCCCCUUGGCCAGGACAGGGUUGCGGCAUAGAGUGUCAAUGUACGCGGACGAUGUCAUGGUUUUCCUCAAGCCAACGGAAAAGGACCUCCGGGCGUGUCACUCGGUCCUAGAUCUGUUUGCAAACGCGUCCGGGCUCAGAAUCAACUUGCAGAAAAGCCUGGCCCUACCGAUCAGAUGCUCGCCGGAGGAUAUGAAGCUUGCUUUGGGGCUGUUGGGAUGUGAGCAAGGAACGUUCCCUUGUAGAUAUCUGGGGUUACCACUAUCAAUAAGGAAGCAAACUGCAGCACAAUUCCAGGCUUUGGUGGAUCAGAUGGCUGCAAGGCUGCCAUCAUGGAAGGCACGAUCAUUACCAAAGAGCAGCCGGUUGCUCCUUAUUCAGUCGGUGUUAUGUGCCAUCCCUGUGCACUCCAUGUUGGCCAUGGGUUUGCCAACAAAAACGCUAAAGGUGAUGAUCAAAAUCUGCAGAAACUUUCUAUGGUAUGGAAAUGAAGACGGUGGAGGUGGCAAGUGCGCAGUUGCUUGGGAAACUUUAUGUCGACCCAAGUGGGCAGGUGGGCUCGGCGUUACGAACCUCAGGUGGAUGAAUGUCGCACUCCAAGCGAAGUGGCUUUGGUUGCAACACGCUGACAGGUCUAGACCAUGGGCAUAA
rnacentral:rRNA from 1 species